UACGUAGGGGGCAAGCGUUGUCCGGAAUCAUUGGGCGUAAAGCGCGUGUAGGCGGUUCGGUAAGUCUGCUGUGAAAGUCCAGGGCUCAACCCUGGGAUGCCGGUGGAUACUGUCGAACUAGAGUACGGAAGAGGCGAGUGGAAUUCCUGGUGUAGCGGUGAAAUGCGCAGAUAUCAGGAGGAACACCGGUGGCGAAGGCGGGUCUCUGGGCCGAAACUGACGCUGAGGAGCGAAAGCGUGGGGAGCAAACAGG
rnacentral:rRNA from 1 species